rnacentral:rRNA from 1 species
UACAGAGGGUGCGAGCGUUAAUCGGAAUUACUGGGCGUAAAGGGCGCGUAGGUUGUUGCGUAAGUGAGAUGUGAAAUCCCCGGGCUUAACCUGGGAACUGCAUCUUAUACUGCGUGACUGGAGUACGGUAGAGGGUAGUGGAAUUUCCGGUGUAGCGGUGAAAUGCGUAGAUAUCGGAAGGAACACCAGUGGCGAAGGCGGCUACCUGGACUGAUACUGACACUGAGGCGUGAGAGCGUGGGUAGCAAACGGG